UACGUAGGGGGCAAGCGUUGUCCGGAUUUAUUGGGCGUAAAGAGCGUGUAGGCGGUCAGGUAGGUCCGUUGUGAAAACUCGAGGCUCAACCUCGAGACGCCGAUGGAAACCAUCUGACUAGAGUCCGGAAGAGGAGAGUGGAAUUCCGAGUGUAGAGGUGAAAUUCGUAGAUAUUCGGAGGAACACCAGUGGCGAAGGCGGCCUCACUGGUCCAUUACUGACGCUGAGGUGCGAAAGCGUGGGGAGCAAACAGG
rnacentral:rRNA from 1 species